rnacentral:rRNA from 1 species
GGGCGUUAAGUUGCAGGGUAUAGACCCGAAACCCGGUGAUCUAGCCAUGGGCAGGUUGAAGGUUGGGUAACACUAACUGGAGGACCGAACCGACUAAUGUUGAAAAAUUAGCGGAUGACCUGUGGCUGGGGGUGAAAGGCCAAUCAAACCGGGAGAUAGCUGGUUCUCCCCGAAAGCUAUUUAGGUAGCGCCUCGUGAAUUCAUCUCCGGGGGUAGAGCACUGUUUCGGCUAGGGGGCCAUCCCGGCUUACCAACCCGAUGCAAACUGCGAAUACCGGAGAAUGUUAUCACGGGAGACACACGGCGGGUGCUAACGUCCGUCGUGAAGAGGGAAACAACCCAGACCGCCAGCUAAGGUCCCAAAGUCAUAGUUAAGUGGGAAACGAUGUGGGAAGGCCCAGACAGCCAGGAUGUUGGCUUAGAAGCAGCCAUCAUUUAAAGAAAGCGUAAUAGCUCACUGGUCGAGUCGGCCUGCGCGGAAGAUGUAACGGGGCUAAACUAUGCACCGAAGCUGCGGCAGCGACACUAUGUGUUGUUGGGUAGGGGAGCGUUCUGUAAGCCUGUGAAGGUGUGUCGUGAGGCAUGCUGGAGGUAUCAGAAGUGCGAAUGCUGACAUAAGUAACGAUAAAGCGGGUGAAAAGCCCGCUCGCCGGAAGACCAA